GAUUAUUGGGCCUAAAGCAUCCGUAGCUCGUUUUGUAAGUUUUCGGUUAAAUCCAUGCGCUUAACGUAUGGGCUGCCGGGAAUACUGCAUAACUAGGAAGUGGGAGAGGUAGACGGUACUCGGUAGGAAGGGGUAAAAUCCUUUGAUCUAUUGAUGACCACCUGUGGCGAAGGCGGUCUACCAGAACACGUUCGACGGUGAGGGAUGAAAGCUGGGGGAGCAAACCGGAUUAGAUACCCGGGUAGUCCCAGCUGUAAACUAUGCAAACUCAGUGAUGCAUUGGCUUGUGGCCAAUGCAGUGCUGCAGGGAAGCCGUUAAGUUUGCCGCCUGGGAAGUACGUACGCAAGUAUGAAACUUAAAGGAAUUG
rnacentral:rRNA from 1 species